UCAUACCCAUUUACUGGGGGAUUGCUCACACCCAGAUCCUGCAAGCUUUUCAGCUGGUGGCAUCUUGUUUCCCGCUUCCCGCAGGAUCUUUCAGCGCCCUGAUGCAUCUGUUAACAAGAACCGUCUGAUGCCACGGAACCGAGCCUCAGGCUCAGUACGAAGUGCAGCUUUCUUGGGGCUGGCGAUCGAUGUUGAGAGCAGGCAGACGUACGUUCUUUGUUUCUUCCAGGAAGUUAUGAAGAAAAGAUCACACAUCUUGGAAAGUCCCUUAAGAAUUUCACCCGUCUUAAAACGCUAGACCUAUCUCGUAAUUCUCUUGUUACAUUAGAGGGGAUCCAGCAUUUGAUUCAUCUGGAAAAGCUCAACCUAUAUUAUAACAAGAUAACAAGUUUGAAAGAGAUUUUUCUCCUUCGUAAUCUGGGUUGUUUGAAAGAACUUGAUCUGAGACUGAACCCUGUGUCCAAAAAUGAAUCAGACUAUCGACUUUUUGUUGUGCACAUGCUCCCCAAUCUUAGACGAUUAGGUAAGUACCUUGUUAGGCUUCGGUAACAACAGUCACCUUCAUUCUUUUCUUGGCUGCUGAUCAUUCGUGGCUUAUCAACAGUGAGAAGCUUGAGAUCCACUCCAGACAAUUGAGUACAGAAUCUAGACUGAUACUACCUCUACCUGCAUUGACAGUCUUUUGGUUAAGAUGUUAAACCAAAGCCCUGUCCUCUUAAUGGGCAUAAAAGAUUCUGCUGCACUAUUUGAAGAAAAGCAAAUGAGUUUUCCCUGGAUCCUUGCCCAUAUCUAUCCCUUGACUAAUGUCACUAAAACAGAUUAUUUGGUUAUUAUUACAUUGUUGGUUGUGACGCUUUGCUGUGUGCAACUUGGUUUAUAUGUUUUCUACAUUACCAACAUGACUACAAUUCAAAAUAUACUUAAUUGACGCUAAAGUACUUUGGGAUCUUAUUGGGUUGUGAAAAGGGGUUCGUGCAAGUUUGUUCUUUUACAGAUUAUGUCAAUUCAAUUAGGUUAUUGCUGAGUGUAAAGAAAAAAGUGCUGUCACUUUCUUUUAAAUUUUGUGACGUUUACUCAUACCAAUUUUCUCAUGUACUGUGAAAUGUGUGUGUAUGUAUGUAUAAAAUGAAUGCAAUAGCUGAAAAUUAAAUGGGUUGAGAGAUUAAAUAAUUACUGCCAAAUUGCUGUGAUUGAAGUCAUAAAAUGUAUGAAUUUUAGAUUUUGGAAUUUUACAGCACUAAGGGAUAUCAUUCAGCCCUUUGACUUUGUAAGUAAGUCAGUACAAUACAUAGUACAGUACAUACUUACACUCAUUGCCUUAUUUUUCCCAUAGGCCUUUUAAAUAUUUGAUUCAACUGUUUACCAACUUCCUUUCUGAAAGUUUUUAUGGGCCUUGCUUCCUUUGAAACUUCAACUUGUUGAAGUAUUUGUUCAACAACAGGCUGUCAUGUUUAGGCUCUUUUAAAUUUCGUGGCAAUAUUUUUAAGUUAAAUAGCUGUUUUGUCUUAGGCAUUGUCUCUAUUCAUAGCUUUAGGAAAUGUUGGCACUUGAUGGUUAUGGAAGCCUAUGUGCAUGCUAUGCAACAUAACCAGCAGGUAUUGAUUUAAAAUCCGGCAAAUUGAUUCAGUAAAGUUUCACAAGUUUGCAAAGGAAUUGUGUAAAACAGACAGCUGGAGUUUUCUGGACUGAGUUAAGAUUAACAGACUGUGCUAUAUCCCUCAAACUAGGUCCCCCAUGUCUGAAUUGAAUGAUGGAACAGAUUUGAGCGGCUUUUCUUCCUCAUUUGUUCAUGGGAUGUGAUUGUUGCUAGACUAGGAUUUACUUCCCAUCCGUCAUUACCAUUGAAAGAUGGUGGUGAGCUCCAGGCUGCAACCACAGACCCAGCAACUGUGAGGAAUGGUGGUAUAUUUCCAACUUAAGAUAUGGUGUGUGACUUGGAGGAGAUCUUGCAGAUGGUGGUGUUCCCACACAUCUGCCUUUGUCCUUCCAGCCAGUAACGGUUGAGAGUCUGGAAGGCUGAAUGGCUGCAUUCUGUUAUUAUUUACUUGAUGCUGCUACGUUCAUGUAAUGCCAGGGAAUUAAAGACCGAACUGGUCAACUUUAUUUUUAUAUACAUUCUAGGAUGUGGACGUUGUUGGCAAAACUAGCAUUUAUUGCCCUGUGAGGAGGUUUGAUUUGAUAGUGGUGUGACAAUCUUGAAGGAUUUUUACAGAAGGAAACUGUAUGCAUUAUUGAAAGGAUCAAGAGGCAGAGGACACAGAUCCAGGUUGAUUGUUAAGAGAAGCAAUGGUAACAUGAGGAAAACUAUCUUUUUCCCUUGCGCACCGAAUGGUUCAGAUUCACAAUUCUUCAUCUGAAUGUGUGAUGGAGGCAGACCCAACUGUGGGUUCCAAAAGAGAAUUGGACAAUGGUCCAAAGAGAAUGAAAUCUAUUAGACAUUUAGAGUGUGCAUCUUUUAUGAAAUAUGCAAGUUUCAAGUAAUCUAGGUCAUGACAAAGGGGAAGUUAAAUGUAUUUUGCCACAGACUAUGAUUCACUAAAGUUUGAAAAAGACUACAUUAUUAGGUGUAAUACAUCGAGUAUUUUCUGGGCUCCAAGCAAUUGCAGUUUUUUAGCAUCAAAAUUUCAAAAACUUCAUCACAAGAAUGGCUAUUAAUUGAACAGGGUUUAGGUCAUGAGGUUUAAAAUUUUAGGAAAACCAAACUGAGUUAUUGAUUGUGGGGAUUGGACGUGUCAUUUAAAGUUUGAAAAGGAGAACUGAAGUUUAAUAAAUCUCUUGAAGUAAAUACACAGUUCCCAAUAAUUCUAUGGCCUCCUUAAUAUUCCUAUCCAAGUACACAACUUAUGCUUAUCUAUAUUGAAAUUAAUUUGUCAAUUGCACACCCAUAAGCAAAUUUACUGAUAUUUUCCAGUAUUUUGUAGCGGUCCUCAUCUGUAUUAAAUACACCAGCAUGAUGUUGACAUUUUGACAUUGUACUGUUGGUCCCAGCACUGAAGAAAAAUCACUUCCGACCUUUUGCCUGUCUGAAAUGUAACUUCUUUCGUCUUUCUUUAUGUAGCCAACUUGUUAUUCAUUCUGAUACUUGUCCUGUGUAUUCUCUGACCUGUCAUAAAUAUACGUUAUCAAAGGAUGUUUCAAAAUCCAAA